CAGUAGCCGCGGGAAUACGUAGGUGGCAAGCGUUGUCCGGAAUUAUUGGGCGUAAAGGGCUCGCAGGCGGUUUCUUAAGUCUGAUGUGAAAGCCCCCGGCUCAACCGGGGAGGGUCAUUGGAAACUGGGAAACUUGAGUGCAGAAGAGGAGAGUGGAAUUCCACGUGUAGCGGUGAAAUGCGUAGAGAUGUGGAGGAACACCAGUGGCGAAGGUGACUCUCUGGUCUGUAACUGACGCUGAGGAGCGAAAGCGUGGGGAGCGAACAGGAUUAGAUACCCCCGUAGUCCCUGUCUCUUAUAC
rnacentral:rRNA from 1 species